AAUAGUGUAGCUGCAACUGGGCACGCAAGUAAUGCGACUGGUAGGUAGUUCCACUGCAGCAUUGUGGUUUGUUCGUUACUAUGAAUUGAAUAGAGAAGAUGAAUAAACAGAAGAGACUCGCUUCGUGAUCUGCUAUUAAUUCUGUUGCAGAAUGCAUAUGACCGAUUCUUGAUGUGUUGUGGACAUGAAGGAAAAGAAGAAUACUGCCUCAACUCUCAAGCGCAUUUUAGUGAAUUGUUCAUCUCAGGCAAAGGCAUACGGGAGCUGUAUUGCAGCAAAGGUUCCAGACAUUGAACGUGAUGUGUGUGUGAAGGAAUUUCUGGCAUUAAAAAGUUGUAUGCAGAAUAUGCUCAAAAAGAAGGUUUAGUGAACAUCCACUUGUUUCCUUGUUCUGGGCUACUGAAGAAACAAACUAGAAAGCUUGAAAGUUACGAAGAGCAGUUUUUUGUAGAAGUUUUCAGUCACAAGAAUAAGUGGAAGGUCCUACGUAUUUUUUCCAGCAUAGGACUCAACAUGUCUGGAAGAGCAUCAACUUCAAAGCCUAAUAUAGGUCUGAGCGGAUCUGAUGGUCUUUCACAUGCUUACACUCAGUAUCCACCACUGCGGUGCAAUGUUCCUGAAUCAAUCGGAAUAUUUUAUGAUGAUGGAAAUAAGUUGCUACUCUCCCCCACAGCUGAUCAGAUCUUUUCCUGGAAAGUUGGCCCCUUUGAUCCUCUCAUUGGUCCCACCACUGAUUUAAUAAGUGAAGGCCCUAUUGUAGCUAUUCGGUAUUCUUUAGACACAAAGGUAAUAGCAAUCCAACGAUCGAACCAUGAGAUACAGUUUUGGAAUAGACAGACUGGGGAAGCUUUUAGCCAUAAUUGCCGGCCAGAAUCAGAAAGUAUACUUGGAUUUUUUUGGACAGAUAGUCAACAGUGUGAUAUUGUUCUUGUUAAGACUAGUGGUCUAGACUUGUAUGCAUAUAAUUCAGAGUCAAAAUCACUGCAACUGGUGGAAACAAAGAAACUGAAUGUGAGUUGGUAUGUUUACACACAUGAAAGUCGCCUGGUUCUUCUUGCUUCUGGAAUGCAAUGCAAGACAUUCCAUGGAUUUCAGAUUUCAUCUGCAGAUAUUGUUCGCUUGCCAAGGUUUGAGAUGGUUAUGGCCAAAUCUGAGGCAAAUAAUAAGCCCGUUUUAGCAGCUGAAGACGUUUUUAUCGUCACUGUUUAUGGUAGGAUAUACUGCUUGCAAGUUGAUAGAGUUGCUAUGCUACUCCACUCUUAUAGGCUAUAUCGUGAUGCUGUGAUACAGCAGGGUUCUUUACCAAUUUAUUCCAGCAAGAUUGCUGUGAGUGUGGUCGACAAUGUACUUCUUAUUCAUCAAGUUGAUGCAAAGGUUGUUAUACUUUAUGAUCUCUUUGCAGAUUCUCGAGCACCAAUAUCUGCACCACUUCCUUUAUUAUUAAGGGGUUUCCCCAGGUCCAGCACUUUAUCUCAAUCUAGUGGUAGAGAAAGUCAGAGUUCAGGCAGUAAUGUUAUGAGUAAUCCUGAAGCAGUUACCUACGCCAAUACAUGGACUUUCCUAGUGCCUGACCUCGUAUGUGAUGUGGCCAAUAAGUUAUUGUGGAAGUUCUAUAUAGACUUAGAGGCAAUUUCUGCUAGUAGCUCAGAGGUCCCAUCAUUAAUAGAGUUCCUGCAGCGGCGGAAGUUGGAAGCUAACAAGGCUAAACAAUUGUGCUUGGGUAUAACACGUACACUUAUUCUGGAGCAUAGGCCUGUGUCUGCAGUUGCUAAGGCUAUAAAUGUACUACUUUCCUCGUACUCCCAUUCAAUUAAAACUGGUAGCUAUCUUAAAGGGCUGAAACCAGAGAAGGCAACAGCUGCUGGUGUACAAAAUGCAGGUGCUGAUGUUUCUGCUAUAGGAACAGAUGUAACUGGAAAAUCUAUCAUACAUGAACCAACCACAAGAGUAGACAGUGGAUCUUUUAACAAGGCUUCAACUGUUUCAAGCUUGGAUUCCGAUGAUGAGUCCCAAUCUGCAAAUUCAAAACACAAUUCAAAGGUGGCCCAAGUUGGGGGUGAAGGGAACCGUGAGAUCUCCAUGAGAACUGAAGCUCAUAGGACUGAUGUUAUGCAAUCAUCUCUGCAGUCUGGACAAGAGGAAUCCCAACUUACUUCUGCAGCAAUUUCACCAGACGAGAUGUACAGCUUUGUCUUCUCUCCCAUUGAUGAAGAGAUGGUUGGAGACCCUUCUUACUUGGUUGCAGUCAUUAUUGAGUUCCUUCACAGAAAAGAUUCGUGUACUCCCAAAUCUAUAUGUAUUGAUAAUUCAACUUCUGGCCCGCAAUGAACGAUAUGCAGAGCUUGGGUUGUUUGUCAUAAACAAGAUUCUGGAGCCCUCUAAGGAAGUUGCAUUACAACUCCUAGAGUCUGGUCGUCAGAAUGCCCAAACUAGGAAGCUUGGUUUUGAUAUGCUGAGACAGCUUGGUUUACAUCACGAUUAUGUUUUACUGCUUGUGCAGGAUGGAUACUACCUUGAAGCCUUGCGAUACGCAAGGAAAUAUAGGGUGGAUACCAUACGGCCAUCAUUGUUCUUGGAAGCUGCGUUUGUUUCUAAUGACUCCCAACAUCUUGCUGCAGUUCUUAGAUUCUUUACAGAUUUCCUUCCUGGUUUCAAAAACACAUCAGAGUACAAUAGAUACUACCGCAUACUGAAUGAAAUGAACUCAUCCCUGACUGUUUGAGAAGUCUAACAAGAAAAAAUUGGGAGAAAUUGAGUCGUCGUCCCCUUGUUCAGCCAUGGGUUUUUGACGUUAUGAGUUAUGACAUCCGAUAUCUAUUAAGAUAUGUGAUAUAUUUGGUAAUAGUUUCGUGUUGUAUGUUAAAUAAAUCUCUUCCUAGUAAGAUUAGCUUUGGUAGAUACCGUGAUAUAAAUGAAAUUCUCCUGCAAUGAAAUUUUACCCUGGUCGAGUUUGUGGGUGCCUUGCAUAGUUGUUUAAUAUAUUAAUUUUCUGGGAGGGAAUAUUGAAUUU